UACAGAGGUGGCAAGCGUUGUUCGGAAUUACUGGGCGUAAAGGGCGCGUAGGCGGUUCGUUAAGUCCUGUGUGAAAUCCCCCGGCUCAACUGGGGAACUGCACAGGAACCUAGCGGGCUUGAGUUCGGGAGAGGGAAUCGGAAUUCCGGGUGUAGCGGUGAAAUGCGUAGAUAUCCGGAGGAACACCGGUGGCGAAGGCGGCUUCCUGGACCGACACUGACGCUGAGGCGCGAAAGCUAGGGGAGCAAACGGG
rnacentral:rRNA from 1 species